CUUGCUUUUCCUGAAGUAUCAAAGGUGCUUCGUACUAUCAAAGCAUUAAUAACCGUAGAGUCAAUUAGGAAAAGUUAGUUCAUUCGGGUAUGUGGGUUCCAAGUAAGGCGAGUUUGACUAGGUCACCAUUGACGGGAUUCUACGAAAGGAAGGUUGGGUUUGCAGGAUCCGUAUAAGGAAACAAUUGUAGAUAUUCACUAACACUUUGCGGGAAAGGUUUGAACAAGCCAAAUAAGAAAACAUCAACAAAUUUCAUGUUUUUUAGGAAGUCCAAGAGUAGUAUAAAAAUGGACCUUCAGCUCUCAUUCUAGACACAACUCAAAAAGCGAGGCAUAGAGAGAGAACAUAGCAAGAACGCAGUUUUAGAGAGGGAGUUUGGGAGAAGAUCGAGCAAAAAGGAUCACAUGAAUCUUCACCGGAAAAUGCAGUGAUGAUUAGUUAUUUGGACCGGAGUGCAGAACGAUGAAGACCAUUAGGACGGCGUAUUCAUAAACUUCAAAUUUUAUUGGGAGUUUUUACGAACCUUAUCAUUAUUGUCUACACUAUUUUACUUAAAAUUAUUAAUAAAGUCGCAGCAUUUACUUAAGUUUACUUGAUGAAAAAUUGUAUGAAUUUUACAUGAAUUUUACCUAGGAUUUUCGAGGCUCUUUAGAGAUUACCGAGUUUGUGUGUUUCAAUUUGGUAUUAGGGCGGGGUACGCCAGUUAGCUCUGUCCUGGCUGACCGAAUGUUUUUCGAAAUGGGAUUUAUGAGAACAUGUGGGAUGUACAGAUGAUGGUCCACAUUAGGAGGAACGUGAUUGCAGCAAAGGAUGGUCAAAUAGAGAAUGUAUAUGUGGCCAAUUGGAAAAAAACUGGUAUCGAUGGAGAAGCUGGUGUUGAGGGUGUUAAUGGUGUUGUGGGAGCUGCAGUAAAUGCUGCGAAUGAGAUGCCACCCCUACCACCAGAUUCCUCCCAUGAAUGCAACAAUGGCCAACAUGAUGUUGAUGAUAUAAGCGUUCUUUACGCAGAUGUUUCAACGCCUUCAAAUUCUGGGUGCAGCCUUGGUUCAAAGGAAGAAGGGGAAAAUGGGAGAAGCAAGGACCACCGCGGGCACCAAGCUAUUUGGACAUGAUGAACUAGAUGACGAAACUCAAGACAGGACAAUUUACUGGUGGGUGUAAGCUGAUAUAAGCAGACGAAUCGAGGAGUCGGUUGGAGUGUAUGCAUUCCCUGUAAAGGAACAAAAGAGACCUUGAAGUCUUUUUUUCUUGAAGGUGAUGCAUACCAGUGGUGGAAAGGAGUGCUUCACAAAGAUCCGACAAGGAUGCACAAUUGGGACUUGUUCAAAGAGGAGUUCACGAGGAAAUAUUUUCCAACCAAGGCCCGUAUUAAGUUGGAGACAGCAUUCCUCAAGCUUUUUCAAGAGACAAAAUCAGUGCGCGACUACGAGCAGGAGGUUAACCGGCUCAAAAGAUAUGCAAGAUGAGAGAUGGAUUAUGAGCAGCGUCAAACUGAAAGGUUAAUGUGUGGAAAUGAUGCCUGAACUUUUGACCAUGAUGCUGAGUAGAGAUUAUCAGACAGUUGGGGAAUUGGUCGAGAAAGUAGUUUCGGUUGAGAGUGGGGUGGCAAAGCAUGAACGUUCACAGAGGAACCAAGUGACACCGGGACUAAGAAAGUUCAGAACCAGGCGGUCAACACAGUGGUGGCUUCGUGUGGAAUGUGUAGUAGGAUUCAUUGCGGUGUGUCUCGUCAAGGUAUCGGUGGAUGCGUCAAGUGUAGAAGUAUGGAUCAUAAAAUUUGGGACUGCCAUGUUGGAGGCGCAGGGAACUGUUAUCGUUGUGGUGGUGCUGUACAUCUAGCUCUGAAUUGUGUAGCACCAUGUUAUGCACAACCAGCUCAUACUUGUGGUGAACGUCCAAAAUCUAGGGUAUCAACAACCACUACCUAAGAGACAAAACGUAGAACCAAGGGUGCACGUGAUGAGAGUGGAGGAUGGAGCAAACUCGGUCGAUGGUAAUUUCCGUUCCUUACACUCUUUUCUUUAUUUUUCGAAUGUCAUGCUUAGCAGAUGGAAUGCAUGAACACAAAAAGAAAACGUGAGCAUAACAACUGCACAUUUCGUCGUUAAUCAUCCAUUACAACGAUUUAACGUCGAUUACCGAAUCGUCAUUAGUAGCUCGUCGUAACCUAUCAAUUUUCGUAACUUUACGACAAUCACAAAAAAUAGUCGUAAGGUAGACGUAAUAUUACGUCCACUAUAUAGUCGUCAAAUGGUCGUAACAUAUAAUUGUUACAGUAUCAUAAAAAAUGUUGGAAAAAAAGUUACCAUGACGCAGCCUU